GGGCGUUUAGCUCAGUUGGCUAGAGCGCUUCCUUCACACGGAAGAGGUCGCAGGUUCGAGUCCUGCAACGCCCAUCA
rnacentral:tRNA from 1 species